GGGGAUUUAGCUCAGUGGUAGAGCGCUUGCCUAGCAAGGGCAAGUCCCUG
rnacentral:tRNA from 1 species